rnacentral:rRNA from 1 species
GACGAACGCUGGCGGCGUGCUUAACACAUGCAAGUCGAGCGGUAAGGCCCUUUCGGGGGUACACGAGCGGCGAACGGGUGAGUAACACGUGGGUGACCUGCCCUCAGCUCUGGGAUAAGCCUGGGAAACCGGGUCUAAUACUGGAUAUGACUCCAUGACGCAUGUUGUGGGGUGGAAAGCCUUGUGCGGCUGAGGAUGGGCCCGCGGCCUAUCAGCUUGUUGGUAGGGUGANGGCCUACCAAGGCGACGACGGGUAGCCGGCCUGAGAGGGCGACCGGCCACACUGGGACUGAGACACGGCCCAGACUCCUACGGGAGGCAGCAGUGGGGAAUCUUGCGCAAUGGGCGAAAGCCUGACGCAGCGACGCCGCGUGAGGGAU